AGCAAAUUAUACUGCACCUGUUCAAAUAAGUACACAGGGGCCUUGGAAUACUGGUGGAGCAGAUAGUCAAACACCAAGAGCAGGCGUGCCACAAUAAGCGGUACAGAACUUUGCUGGGUGUCCAUGUUCCCUGUCAGCUCCACAAUUGUCUGGAUACAGAGCAUCAUGAUAGACCUGCGGCCCCUCUCAGAAAAAUUGUGAAAAAUAAGCAGCAGCAGCUGGAGAUGUUCAACGUUCAGAUCUUC
rnacentral:lncRNA from 1 species